rnacentral:tRNA from 1 species
UGGUGUGGCUCAGUUGGUAGAGCAGCGCAUUCGUAAUGCGCAGGUCGUCGGUUCGAGUCCGACCACC